rnacentral:rRNA from 1 species
AGAGUUUGAUCAUGGCUCAGAACGAACGCUGGCGGCAUGCUUAACACAUGCAAGUCGAACGGAGGGCAGUUUACUGUCCUUAGUGGCAAACGGGAGAGUAACGCGUGGGAAUCUACCUUUUGGUGGGGGAUAACUGAGGGAAACUUCAGCUAAUACCGCAUAAGCUCGGAAACGAGGAAAGAUGUAUUGCCAAAAGAUGAGCCCGCGUCAGAUUAGGUAGUUGGUAGGGUAAUGGCCUACCAAGCCAAUGAUCUGUAGCUGGUCUGAGAGGAUGAUCAGCCACACUGGGAUGGAGAUACGGCCCAGACUCCUACGGGAGGCAGCAGUGAGGAAUAUUGGACAAUGGGGGAAACCCUGAUCCAGCAAUGCCGCGUGAAUGAAGAAGGCCUUUGGGUUGUAAAGUUCUUUCACUUAUGAAGAUGAUGACGGUAAUGAGAAAAGAAGGUCCGGCUAACUCUGUGCCAGCCGCCGCGGUAAUUC